rnacentral:rRNA from 1 species
GUGGGGAAUCUUCCGCAAUGGACGAAAGUCUGACGGAGCGACGCCGCGUGAGUGAAGAAGGCCUUCGGGUUGUAAAGCUCUGUCAUCAGGGACGAACGGCCGGUGGAGUGGAAAGCCACCGGAUUGACGGUACCUGAGAAGGAAGCCACGGCUAACUACGUGCCAGCAGUCGCGGUAAUACGUAGGUGGCAAGCGUUGUCCGGAAUUAUUGGGCGUAAAGCGCGCGCAGGUGGGAUCUUAAGUCCAUUUUGAAAGUUCGGAGCUCAACUCCGUGAUGGGAUGGAAACUGGGAUUCUUGAGUACCGGAGAGGAAAGCGGAAUUCCCCGUGUAGCGGUGAAAUGCGUAGAUAUGGGGAGGAACACCAGUGGCGAAGGCGGCUUUCUGGACGGUGUCUGACACUGAGGCGCGAAAGCUAGGGGAGCGAACGGGAUUAGAAACCCUAGUAGUCC